GACAGAGGGUGCAAACGUUGUUCGGAAUUACUGGGCGUAAAGCGUGUGUAGGCGGUGAGGUAAGUCGGAUGUGAAAGCCCAGGGCUCAACCCUGGAAGUGCACUCGAUACUGCUUCGCUUGAGUACUGGAGAGGUUGGUGGAAUUCUCGGUGUAGAGGUGAAAUUCGUAGAUAUCGAGAGGAACAUCUGUGGCGAAGGCGACACACUGGGCCAUUACUGACGCUGAGGCGACGAAGCGUGGGGAGCAAACAGG
rnacentral:rRNA from 1 species